AUUGAACGCUGGCGGCAGGCCUAACACAUGCAAGUCGAGCGGAUGAAGGGAGCUUGCUCCUGGAUUCAGCGGCGGACGGGUGAGUAAUGCCUAGGAAUCUGCCUGGUAGUGGGGGAUAACGUCCGGAAACGGGCGCUAAUACCGCAUACGUCCUGAGGGAGAAAGUGGGGGAUCUUCGGACCUCACGCUAUCAGAUGAGCCUAGGUCGGAUUAGCUAGUUGGUGGGGUAAAGGCCUACCAAGGCGACGAUCCGUAACUGGUCUGAGAGGAUGAUCAGUCACACUGGAACUGAGACACGGUCCAGACUCCUACGGGAGGCAGCAGUGGGGAAUAUUGGACAAUGGGCGAAAGCCUGAUCAAGCCAUGCCGCGUGUGUGAAGAGGGUCUUCGGAUUGUAAAGCACUUUAAGUUGGGAGGAAGGGCAGUAAGUUAAUACCUUGCUGUUUUGACGUUACCAACAGAAUAAGCACCGGCUAACUUCGUG
rnacentral:rRNA from 1 species